UGGGGAAUUUUGCACAAUGGGGGAAACCCUGAUGCAGCGACGCCGCGUGAUUUAGAAGGCCUUCGGGUUGUAAAAAUCUUUUCUCUGGGAAGAAAAUGACAGUACCAUAGGAAUAAGGACCGGCUAAUUACGUGCCAGCAGCCGCGGUAAUACGUAAGGUCCGAGCGUUGUCCGGAAUCAUUGGGCGUAAAGGGUACGUAGGCGGGUAAGCAAGUUAGAAGUGAAAUCCUAUAGCUCAACUAUAGUAAGCUUUUAAAACUGCUCAUCUUGAGGUAUGGAAGGGAAAGUGGAAUUCCUAGUGUAGCGGUGAAAUGCGCAGAUAUUAGGAGGAAUACCGGUGGCGAAGGCGACUUUCUGGCCAUAACCUGACGCUGAGGUACGAAAGCGUGGGUAGCAAACAGG
rnacentral:rRNA from 1 species